AGAAGAGAGAAAGCAGAUUGUCCUGAGCCCCAAGUGUCUGUGAUUCUCUUAGCUAAGUAAGGAAUCAGUGCCAGAGACAGAGGUUGCUGGAGCUGAGAGGAGACGUAGUCAAGAAGAUUGGAGAAGGCUCUGCGGAGAAGGUGAACUUGAGCUAAGACUUGAAGGGAGGGCAGGCUUGAAGGGAUGAAACAGCCUCCUCUGUGCUAAAGAGAGGAGUGACAGGGCCAUCAUCAGGCAAAGGGGACAUUACCAGGCAAAGGGACACCAUUGGUCAAAGGCGAUGGUGGAGACAAGACAUUCUGGAAGAGCCCGGAUCAGAGAGAUUUGGGGCCAGGAGCCGGCAUCAGGGGACCGGCUCCCUAAGGAACCAUGGCACCACUGGCUCUCAGCUGGAAAUAAGCAGCAGAUGAAGCACAUGCAUCCUGAGUUUUGGCUCUGGUGAUGGUGGUGGAGCUGUUAAUUCUUGGAGUCCAAAUUCCUGCACCACCUCUGAGUUCCGAGGGGGUGGGGAAGAGCAAGUGAUGGCUGGACAGCAAAGAGGAGUGGAGGCCGGGAGAAUGGGCAGCUAGCCCAGCGCUCUCCAAUAUCUGGGAGUCGACCGCACUCCUGCACUCCCUGUCAUCCCUGCUAAUGGUGAGGAACUGAGCAAAAGAGCCUCCAGAGUGACAGCAGGUAUUACCAUUGCUCCAAUCUUACAGAUGAGGAAACUCAGGCAUGGAGAGGUUGAGCGACUUGCCCAAAUUCAUGCAGUUAGGACCUGGCAGAGCUGCGCUUUGAACCCAGGCUGCCUGGCUCUAGAGUGUGUGCACGAAACUUCACUGCCAUAUGAACAAAACUGCAGGACAUAUGUUCUCAAAGCAAAUAAGCCUCCCAGAGAGGCUUUUCCUGAUGGCUUCAAGGACCUGCCCUAGCCUGGUCUGACUUCCCAGAGGGGAUCCAGUCCCAACAUUGGCCCUAUCUUUAGACCACAUUUCCAUCCCAUUCUCAGUGAAAACCCUGAGUCAUGACAGAAGACAACCAAUGCUGGAGAGAGGAGGUUUCAGGAGGACAACAGUCAGAAUACCCCCAAGACGUCCUUCUUUCCCUAAGGUCUCAAAAUCCUUGCCUCAAGAAGUUAUUCCUGAAGUCUAGCUUGAAUUCCUCCAGAUAGAGUUUAAACCAGACAAACAGCCUACGAACAUGUUACAAUAUUCAAAAACUUCUAAUUUAGUCACCAUCACUUGCAAAUAGGGAUAUCUCAUGGAAAUACGAUUUCUGAUUUAUCUUGAAAAGUCAAGAUGAUCUGGCCACAAUGGGCCUGCACUCCUGUGAGGUGGUAUCAUUGGCUUGGGGGUCUCACCAGUGCCACCCUGCAUGGGGGCACCGGGUGACAUGAUGCUCGAUUGAGCUUUCCCUCCAGGCUGGGUAAUCAGAGGCCAGGCCCUGUGUGUCUUCCAGGGGAUGCUGUCCUGAUCCAGGCUGGUGAGGCAAGGAGGGGCUGCGGCUUCCUGAGCUCUCCGAGCUGCUAAUGUGCGUGGGGAAUGCUAAGCAGCCUCCAGGCUCUGACCAGGUUUGUCUUCUAGGACCCACUUGCCCAAUGGGUGCCAGGACACCAGGUCUGGGUCUGGAGAAGAGAAUUCUUCUCCAAGGGAUGUUGAUGGUCCAUUCCGGAAAUGAAAGCUUCCCACGGUCUGCCCUGCACCAGGCUUUCAUCAGUGAGAAAUACCCCGAAUUUACACCCAAACCUAAAAGGAGAAGCGUAGAAGUGUUCUUGGCCCAAUUCUUUUAAUUGCAAGUCCUACUAGCAGGACAACUAAGGGAUUAUCCCUAAACUUUCAUUUAAAAGUCUGGGGAGGGAAGGAAGGAGUAAAAACUUUGGCAGUCAGAUUUUUCUCACUUUCACAUUUAUUCUUUACUAUUAAUGACUUGUUCAUCAUGCUGUACAACAAUUGUGCAAAGAUGCAUACGUUUGCCACUAUAAUUUGCCAUUAAAAUGUAAUAAUCAGUAAGUAUACACGGCGUGCCAGGUGCUAAACAGCAGAUGAGGGGCGAGGUGGGUGAAGGUUCCAUGCCGUGAGUUUGUGGCUAAUGGAACCCCUCAUGCUGCUGCUAUCCUUCCUGGGCCCAGCAGUUGGAUCCUGCAGGGGUGCCCCACUCUCUCGGGGACCUCAGAAAUGUCCUCUAUGGUUAGGGACGGCUAAGGAGGGUGUAUCUGCAGGAUUCCCAGGCACUGGGAGGUGUAUAGAGGUCACAGGACCCAUACAACCACCCCAGACCUUGUCAGAGUGCUCCAGUCUGGCAUCCGCAGAAGGCCAGGGAGGGUCAAGGGGCAGUGCUGAGCCACUGAACACAGCCACAGAGUUGGAGCUGCCAGGCAGAAGGUGCACGGCUCAGCAGAGGAGACCCCUUGAGGCAGCAAUGCUGGGGCCGGAGGGUCAAGGCUGAGGAGAAGGCCACCGCAAUGCCCUGUGUGGCCCUCAUGAGCUGAGGGACCAUGGGAAGGUGGCCUAGCCACUCUGAGCCUCAGUUUCCCCGGGAGAUAAAAACAGAGACAGUAUCUGCAAACUCAACAGGGCAUUAUGGUGAAGAAAUGAGAGGACUCAGGAACAUGUUAGCUGUCACAGCCUUAGCCACUGCCAACUCCAGCCAGGCAGCUGGUCAACAUUGCCGAGCACCAGCCAGGUGACAGGAGGACAGAGGGCUCGGGGGAAACCAAAUCCAUCCCCCCAAACAAAAGAAAAACACAAACAAAAAUAGGCACCAGAGCCGCCGGACGUGUACAAAGACUGUGUACGUUCUGCCUGUGGACAGAGCCCAGGAAGAGCACCCUGGCUCCUGUGCUCCACGCCUGCAGCUCAUCUGGAAGGUUCCCUGUCUAUGGCAGCCAGGUACCCAGGCCAGCCUGCAAAGGCCCAGUAACAGAACUUGUGUCUAAGAUAGAACUUCAUAGCUUUGUGCUGCCAAGCCCACCUGGAGCCCCCUUUAAGCCUUCUUUUGUUUGUUUGUUUGUUUGUUUUGAGACAGGAUCUCAUUCUGUUACUCAGGCUGGAGUGCUGUGGUGCCAGCAUAGCUCACUGCAGCCUCAAACUCCUGGGCACAAGCGAUCCUCCCACCUCAGCCUUCUGAGUAGCAGGGACUGCAGGUGCAUGCCACCCUGCAAAGCUAAUUUUAUUUAUUUUAUUUUUUGUAGAGACGCGGUCUCACUAUGUUGCUCAGGUUGGUCUCGAACUCCUGGGCUCAAGUGAUCCUCUGCCUUGGCCUCCCAAAGUGCCGGGAUUACAGGCAUGAGCCACUGCGCCCCAACCCGUUUAAGCCCUUCUGAGCUUUAAACCUCAUCUGCCUCCACUCUGCGCCCAGCAGUGGGGGAAGGUAGGGAGGGGAAGGUAGAAACAUGUAAAGGAGACAGGGUCAUCGGAGCCAGCUCUGGGUGUGAGCUCACCAUCUUCCACAAGGCCGUUCGUGGAUCCGGCCUGGCGAACUGACCACGGUUCUCCACAGAGUAGGGGCAGGUAAGGGGCUGGGAUGAGGCUCUGACCUCUGCAGCGUGAGGAUGCCAGGGAGGAGGGCAGGCGGGGGGGGCGCCCCUUCCUCUGGUUAUCUGUAGUCCUGGAUGCCUCGUGUAAGUGAGAACACAAUCGGUCCCAGGAGGACUGUCUCUAGAGGAGGCACCAGGGGCCCGGUGGAGGCAGGAGAGGCCGAGGGGAGGCAGGUAGGGAGCAGGCAGGGCUGAGCGGUGCUGCAGCAACAGGCAGGGUCAGGGAGACGCCAAGACUCCCAGUCCCACAACAAGGUACCACAGACCAUAUAGCUCAUAAACAAUAAUUUAUUUCUUGCAAUUCUUUUUCUUUUCUUUUUUUUUUUUUUUAUUGAGACAGAGUCUCAGUCUGCUGCCCAGGCUAGAGUGCAGUGGGGCGAUCUUGGCUCACUGCAACCUCCACCUCCCGGGCUCAAGCAAUUCUUCCACCUCAGCCUCCUGAGUAGCUGGGAUUCCAGGCGCACACCACCAUGGCCAGCUAAUUUUUGUAUUUUAUUUUAGAAGAGACAGGGUUUCACCAUGUUGGCCAGGCUGGUCUCAAAUUCCUGACCUCAAGUGAUCCGCCGGCCUUGGCCUCCCAAAAUGCUGGGAUUACAGGCGUGAGCCACCGCACCCAGCCAAUGUGAGCCAAUUAAACCUCUUUUCUUUAUAAAUGAUCCAGUCUCAGGUAGGUCUUUAUAGUAAUGUGAGAACAGACUAAUACACUAAGAGUCCCUUUGUAACCUUGGAACCCACCUCUGGUUCUACAACCUGCCCUACAGGAAGCUCACUACAGCAGGCAUGUUUCCCCUUUGCUUCACACACCACAAUGGCAGCUUAUCACAGUAGGUGCUCAGCAGUGUGGCUAGGGGCCAGUUGCUGGCUGUGCGCUCUGCUUUAUACACACCACUGCUAUUCCUUACAGCAGCCCUGAAAGAGAGGUGCUAUGAUUCCGAACCAGGCUCAGAGAGGUCCAGCUACUUACCCAAGGUCACACAGCUAGUAGGGGGCAGCCAAGAUCCAACCCCAGCCAGCCCUCCUCCAAAGCCUGGGCCCUUUCCACCACAUCUUACUGGCUCUGCAGAGUGGCAGGAAGAGACAGGUAAAUGCAUCUCAUAUCCAUUUCUUAAGUAAGGCAUAAUAACAAUAAAAUGAUUAAAGCAACAGCUGGGGGAAACGCUUCAGUGGCCAAGAACAGACCAGCCAGGUGCAGGGAGAGAUGACCAAUGACAAGCGCUCUAGCAGUUUUUGUGCUAAUAGUGAGAUGGACUGACUUUGGAAAUGGAAAAGGAAGACAGUGAGAGAGGAAAGGGCCAAAGCAGACAGAAAAAUGAAAGAUGCUGGCUGGGCAUGGUGGCUCAUGCCUGUAAUCCCAGCACUUUGGGAGGCUGAGGCGGGUGGAUCACCUGAGGUCAGGAGUUUGAGACCAGCCUGGCCAACAGAGUGAAACCCCCGUCUCUACUAAUAAUACAAAAAUUAGUCGGGCAUGGUGGUGCGCACCUGUAGUCUUGCUGCUCGGGAGGCCGAGACAUGAGAAUCGCUUGAACCCGGGAGGCGGAGGUUGCAGUGAACUGAGAUCGUGCCACUGCACUCCAGCCUGGGUGACAGCAAGGCUCUGUCUUAAAAAAAAAGAAAAAAAAAAAAAGACGCUGGAAUCCUCCAGGAUCCACAGAGUUCACUUUACGGAUGGACCAAAGGGGCUGGCAGUUCUACAGCCCCUUCCCAUACAGCAUUUGUCAUUGGGAACUGUUCCCUCACCCUGGGCAAGAAAAACCUUAUUAACUUCACUGAUACUUUCCAGCAACAAAUGUCGCUUCUGUUAUUUAGCAUACUGAGGGAAGAGCAAAUGGUCCUCUCAUGGGCAUCAGGAAUGCCCAUGCCCCCUCCAGGAAUUAGUGGAUAUUCUCUAGGAAAAUUUGCAUUAGUUUUUAAGCAGGGGCAAAGAUAAUUCGAAUUCAGCCUGGCUGCUUCAGUGGAAGGAAAUUUACCUGGACUCAGAGCCUUCUUUAAGAGAUGCAUGUUUGCUGUUUUUGCUUUUGUUUUGAUUUAUUUUUCUCCUUGAGGGCAAGUCCUAGUCAUCAGCAUGAGACAACCCUAGCUCUUAUGAGAGGUGACCGACCACUCGACCUUAGCGUUGGUUACUCAGCACAGGCAGAUGCGAACCCUGCAAGGCAGAGCUCGCACUCUGCAAAGCAGAAUGGUUUAUCAAAGACACUGAAGCAAAGACACUGAAGGAGGAGUUGGGCAGGAGGCUGCAGGGAAAGAGUUCUUCUCACUACAGAAGAAAGUGGGAAUGUUCUGGAAAGCUGCUGCUGAGGGGACGCAUGUGUAAAACAGAUCACGUGUUCCCAUGACCGAAGUCUGUCAUCUGACAGGCCAAGUCUUCAUUUCUUGGGAUCUCAAAUAUCGAUGCUUCCUGGCCAGACCUCUCCCAUGAGAUGGCACCUCUGGCCGGGUGAGUCUGAGGGCCCAUCUCCAGGUGGCCCAGACACUGGAGGGAGGUGAUGUGGGGCACAGAAGGGGAUCUGCAGGGGAAGGACACCUGUGCUAGUCCAGCUUUGCCAUGAACCUGCUGUGUGACUCUGGGGAGGUUAACUGUACCUCUCUGGGCUUAGUUACCACAUUUCUCAAGUGGCUCUGGCAUCUGUUAAAAUGCCAAACUCGUGGUCCUUAACACCUUGUGAUGCUGGCACCUCUCUGCAGACUUUUCUCAAUGUAACCUCAGAAGUUGGGGAGGACUGGGGAGAAGGGAGGUCCUGCAGGGAGGAGAAAAGGGAAAGUGGGCAACUCCACUGAAGGCUGUCACACAUUUGGGGGCUGUUCCCGACAGUUUUACCUUCCUCUUUGGGCCCCUCCUUUCUCUUCCCUCUCAGUCCCCUUGUCAGAUGGUUGAUGGGGAUCACUGGGAGUUGGGGUGACUGUCAGGAAGGCAGAGAGGGGGUUUGGGCAGCAGGUGGGAAGUGGGGCCAGGUGGCCUCUCGGGGUUCUCCCACCUCACAGUUCUGGGGAGUUCAGGGUUCUGCAAGCAGAGUGAUCCUUAAUUAAUAAACAGCGGGGCAGGCUCGGGCUCCACGUCAGGAAAACUGCAGUCAGCCACGCUGGGCCACCCGCCCUCUGCAGAGCACACGCAACAGCGCAGUCAUUAAAGCUGAACUGAGCCCUCUCAGGACCAGUGGGAACAUCUCUGAACACUGAAGUUCUGCAUCUGAAAGAGAAACCUAGGAAUGCCUUGCUGCUUCUCUGGGUGUAGAGACGGCCCCCAAAGAGCAGGGCCCUGGGGCUGCGCUCUCAGUCCCUCCGGGAAUGUGGGGAUGAGCUGAAAAGCGGGAAUUCUGGAGGAACCGGAGACCACCAUGGUGGGCUGACUGGGACAGGACUGUGGGCAGGGUGUGAAUCCGCCCACGGAAGUUACUCCAGGGGAGACCUCCCUUUCAAACCAGCAGUGCCACCUGGCCCAGAGUGGCUGGGAGGAUGAAAUGUGGUCAUCUGGGUGAAAGCACUAAGAGAAAAGAGAGUGUUCUGGUUGUUUUUGAUAUAAAAGGAUUUGGCAUCAAGAUCGUCAAAUGACAUCAGUCAGCCUCACCUCAGGGAACAUGUCCACCGAGGUCUCAUUGGAAAUGCAGGGAACAGGGUGGCUCAUGGGCUAGUCUGGGUUGUCACAGACUAUGACAAGGAGUAGAUACUUCAGCACACUAGCCCACCUCCCUUCUCCUCCUACCCACCCCCUCUGACUCCAGGAGAGCCCUCUAAAGUGCUGUGUUCAGUUACAUGCCUUAUAUAUGCUGAACACACACACACUCACACAUGCUCACAGACACAAUGCACACACACGCUCACACGCCACACACAUGCACCACACACACAACACACAUGCUCACACACACCACACACAGACACAUCACACACACAUGCUCACACACCACACACAUAUCACAACACACCACACAUGCUCAAACAUACACACUCACACAUGCUUACACACCACACACACAUCACAUGCCCACACACAUGCUCAUGCACACACCAUACACAACUCACACACCACACACACCUCACGUCACACAUACACACCACAUACUUCACACACACACUACACACACAGACUCACACACGCUCACACAGCACACACCCCCACACCACACACAUACACACUCAUGCUUACACACCACACACACUCACCCCCAUCCCCCCACACUUUGCGCGCACACACACGCACUCCAGUCUCUAACAUGACAGGGUUAGGCCAGAUCAGAGCUUUUGUGACCAGGGACAUUCGUCAUGCCUGCCAGCAUCACUUGAGGAGCCUUUUAAAAGAACCCUUCUUCCGGAUAUUUUCAUCCUUUCCAAGUGUGCUGAUGCCUGAGCGUAUACAUGCAUUUAAUCUUUUUUAAAAAGCAAUUGGCUGGGCAGGGUGACUCACGUUUUAAUCUCAGCCCUUUGGGAGGCUGAGGCAGGAGGAUUGCUUGAGUCCAGGAGCUUGAGACCAGCCUGGGCAACAUAGAAAAACUCCAUCUUGAUUAAAAAAAAUAGCUGGGCACGGUGGUAUGCGUGCCUAUAGUCCCAGCUACUCAGGAGGCUGAGGUGGGAGGAUUGCUUGAGCCUGGGAGGUUCAGGCUGCAGUGAACCAUGAUUGUACCACUGCACUCCUGCCUGGGCAACAGAGAGAGACCCUGUCUCAAAAAAAAAAAAAAAGGUAAAAAGUAACAUUUAAGCAUGGUAAUACAAAAUUAAUAGUAGAGAAAUGGAAAUGACAUCUCCCUUCACCCAGUUUCUCCCCACCAGAGGCCACCACUGAAACUGCAUUCUCAUUCUUCCUUCCAGAGUUAGGCUAUGUCUGUGUGGACUCUGUUGCAUGCGCUGGCCUUCCUUGCACGCAGAGGACAGUACACAGUACCUGCCUUGUUCCUCACUGCUUUUCUCACUGACCCACAGGAUCUGAGGGGCACCCGCAGCAGUGCAGACGGACCGCUCCAUUCCGUCAGAGGCCACACUUAUUUCACCAGUUCCAUCCUGAUGUUUUCCAGACUUCUACAUAACAGAUGAUUCACCAGUGUGUCCCCCCAUGGAUGCCUCUGCUCACAUAGAAAGGGUUAAUUCUUGGAAGCUGAGGUGCUGUCAAAGGGCAUCUGACAGAUCAGCCGCCCUCUGCUCCAGGGGUGUGGUCUUCCUCUCCGACCCAUGAUGCGUGGCAGCCUGGCUGCCCACACCCUCAGAUCCCUGAGCAGCAGUGUCUCGCUGUGGUUUUAUCAGCAGUCUUUUUAAAUUAAUUUUUUUUUUUCUGUCACUUGCCUGGAUGGAAUCAGCAGUCUUUUUAUUAUGAGGGAGAUCAAGCACCUUUUCAUGUUAAAUCCCUCCUCCUUUUUUUAUCCUUUUCCUGUGAGCUACCUGUUUUUCUCUUUUAUCAGGCCUGGAUAUUUUGGGGCAAUGCUGGGCUGUCCUAGUACUCCCUGCCUGUUCCAGUUGAUCCAGGCUCCUUAAAGCUCCAACAGUGUGGAUUCUGUGAGCAUCAUGAAAGCCCAAGGGUGGUGGUCUCUCCAGGUGUCAGAGAGCCAAUGGUGAGUGAGAGAACCCCCCGGCCAGGGCAGCAGAGAAGCCUCAUGCCCACCAGUGCCAAUAGCCUGGCAUGGGAGCAGCCCUCUUUGUACAGGAAAAUGGGCCACAUUUGUCUUUAACAUUUGCUUCUUGUCCAAAGCAUUUUAGAGUGUGAUGGACAUGAAAUGAUGGAGACAGUGUGUAUCUACUUCCCUUGAAAGCUCCUCCAGCGAAUCCAGAGCCAGCAUCUUCCUGUAGCAUCUGCCCCUCCCUCCCUUUCAGGCCUGUGGUAACAUCUCCUCCUGCAGAACCUGGGCCCUGCUAUCCUGCUAUCAAAGGGUGGAGAGCCUGAUGGUCUGUGAAAUUCCCAGGGAAGGUUCAGGUAUCAGAAAUGCACUGAAGAACCACCUGAGCUCACUCUGUUAAUGGCGAUAUUUCACGUGAUUUAUCUGGAAGGGUUGGUAACUGAUAUGGUAACAAAUCUCAUCUUGAAUUCCCACAUGUUGUGGGAGGGAUCUGGUGGGAAGUAACUGAAUCAUGGGGGCAGGUCUUUUCUGUGCUGUUCUCUUGAUAGUGAAUAAGUCUAACGAGAUCUGAUGGUUUUAAAAAGAGGAGUUCCCCUGCACAAGCUCUCUCUCCCUGUCUGUCUGCUGCCAUCCAUGUAAGAUGUGGCUUGCUCCUCCUUGCCUUCUGCCAUGAUUGUGAGGCUUCCCCAGCCACUUGGAACUAUCCCUGGAAAUGUGGGUGCAUAUGAGGCUCCCUCUGCCUCCUCCCACAGCCAUAUGAGCUGCCGCCUCCUAGGAGAACCUGGCAGGGCUGGCAGCACCCCCAGCUCCCCAGUUCAGCCCAGAAGGGGGCUGCCUGGACUCCAAGAUUUCUCCCUUCACCCGCGGCUGCCUCCUGCCCCCAUGACUACAGUGUGAUGCUGUCUGGGAAGCUGAAUGUCAUCUUCCCUGGGCUUACCUGCCAGGCUCCUCUCAUCCACAUCUUCCAGCCUCUAGCCACAUGGACCCCUCCGGAAAGCAUGUGUGUGUGGGGGGGAACAGAGUGCAGCCGCCACUGGCCUUUUCUCAGGCACAGUUGAGAUGCUAAGAAGGGAGGAACUUCACCACUAAAGGAAGAACUGAACCCGGUGGAGAGAAGCCCAGGAGGCAAGUUAUCCCUAUAGGAUUAUCCAGGAAAAAUAUUAAAUAGGUUUUAAUAAGGUUCAGGUGAGUUUAUGAAUGAUCACUUCAUUAUUCAAGCGGAUUUAGGGAUGUUCUGCAAAAUCCUCCGUUUCUAAGCUGGCCUCAUGGGGACCAGCAGCAGAGGCAGAGGCUGAGCCGCUGCACUGGGGAUUGGGGCCAGCGUGGAAUUUCCCCUGCUCAUAGGGAAAAGACAAGACAGAAAACGGAUGGUGGGAGGGCUGAUGACUCUUCCAAAUGGCUAUUCCUGAUGUUUCCUGGCAAUGAGCAGCUAUGAAAGGGACAGGUUCACAUGCGACUACACCAUGACUUUUGCUGUGCCCCAGUGUAACAGGAGGUUAUAGACAACAGUUUUAUUUGCAUAUAUAACCUUUGCUUGGCUUAUUAACAUAUUGCUGAUUUAAAUUCUGAUACAUUGUCAAAGUAGAAAGCUGUUCGGGUUUUUGGCAAGCCCAGUAUAAAAAAUGCAGGCAUGCAACAAAUAGGUAGUGAAUAUUCACAUUUAAAUACAUGUAAAUAUAAAUAGAAUUAAAAAAAAAAAGUUUAGAGACAGGGCCUUGCUGUGUUACCCAGGCUGGAGUGCUAUGGGACAAUCAUAGCUCACUGUAGCCUUGAACUCCUGGGCUCAAGCGAUCCUCCUGCUUCGGCCUCCCAAGUAGCUAGGGCUACAGACACAUGCCAUCAUGCCCAGCUAAUUUUUACAGUUUCCUUUUGUAGAGACAGGAUCUUGUUUUGUUGCCCAGGCUAGUCUCAGACUCCUGGCUUCAAGUGAUCCUCCCACAGUGCUGGGAUUACAAGUGUGAGCCACCGAGCCUGGCCUCAUU
rnacentral:lncRNA from 1 species